rnacentral:rRNA from 1 species
GGCAUCCCGGGUACGGGUGCUGUCUGGUGCUGUGCAAGGUUUCGCCGCCGACGCAUUUGACUCUCUUCCGAAGGACGCCGCAGCCGAUUGGGUAGCUGUAAGCGCGACGGCCAGAGAGGCAGGUGUCUGCAGGUGGCCGGUGGCGGGAUUUUUUCUUCCGCCGGUUGUUAGCUUUCUUGCCGGUGGUCUGUCACCCGAUCGAGGUAUCACAAAGCCCCUCAUGGGGCUCCUUCCGUCUCCUCCAUAGGAUGCAGGACAUACCGUUGCAGGCAUGGACCGCCGUCCCGUCGCACUCUACCCGAGUGGAUGGGCGAACGGGACACGCCGAUGGCGAUGGCGAGCCUGUGUGGAGAAACGGUGGCUUGCGGCGAGUAGGUCGGUCACCCACCCGACCCGUCUUGAAACACGGACCAAGGAGUCUAACAUGUGCGCGAGUCGUCAGGUCUUGCUUAGGCCCGUAGGCGCAAUGAAAGCGAAGGCCUUCCUAGCGUUGGCCGAGUCGGGAUCCCUGGGUUCGUCCU